GGGAGAGAGAGUAGAUUGUGAAUUUAACUGACAAACUUCAGAUCACAAUCUGUUUGCAGGUUAUAAGAGAAGACCUUACAGUCAGCCCUUGGUGAAAAUGAACUCAUUAAUUCCUUUUAACUAUUCCCUGGGUUCCUACCCAGCUCCAUGUCACAAGUCUGGAGAUAAAAUUGGAAAGGGAUGCAGAACAAGGCUGGAAUCAGAAGUACUCAUCAGGGAGGCUCCUCAGAGGCCUAAGGAUCUUGUUAUUGUAAGAUGUAGUGAAGAAUGGAGUAACCAAAUCAAAGACUAAGCAACGAGACUAAGCAAACUUAGUCUGUAUUGUAUUGAAAUAAUACACUGAGGCUUUCUCAGUGGACACACUUGGCAUGUAUUGGCUCUGCAGACCCUUAACAGGUCUCGAGCAGUGGACUUGAAAGGGUACAUCCUAUAGCUAGUACACAGCUCUAGAGCAGCAUCUCCAAUGGCUGUUACUUGCUCACCAAAUGUAUCUGAAUUUUCCAAAACAUGAAAUUUGAUAUGAAAAUCUUUCCUCUACGCUGACUCUACCCUCUUUUCAUCACUCCUCUACCUCCCUCUUGCCUGUAGGGCUAGAAUCUAGUAUAUUCUAAUAAGUUGGU
rnacentral:lncRNA from 1 species